rnacentral:lncRNA from 1 species
GGGGCGAGGCGGAAGUGGCGCGUGCGGCAGAUGGAGUCUAUUAGUUUUAAUGAAGAGUUAGGGCAAGUUUAGGGCACUGUGGCAGCAUUGAGAUAAAGUCUGGUUUGUCCCCAGCUCGCUCAGGAAAUGUUCGCGGACACAAUGGCGGCCCCCUUUGGGCAUACCUGCCUGUGGAGCGGAGAGUGGACAGGUGACCACAGUGUGAACGGGAACAGCAAGAUGGGAAAGGCUUGCUGAGAAAGUGGCACAGUGCCAGCCUGGGUAGCGGCCUCCCCAGCAAGUUGCAUGUUACUAGCUUCCUGUGGCUGUCACUGCUGGGCCCAGGCACCUCCGAAGAUCAGCGCCUCCUCCGGGGCUCAAGCGAGGGCAGGAGUCCGUCACCUAUGAGCUUGCAAGGGCAGAGCCACUGUCCUGUCUCAACGGUUCUACCGUGACUCCAGUGGACUUUGGACAGUGGGGAGCAGGCCCAACAGGGCCAUUCGUGUGUGGUAACUCUGGCUUUGGGUGGAUCAGGACCACGCUGGACUUCAUCCCCAGCCCCCAGGUGCUGUUGCUACUCCUGCCCGAGACCCCAUCCACGGCUGCAGCUGUGUGGCGGGGUGGCUGAUGGUGGCCAGCAUGGUCCUGCUGCAGCUCCAUGCUGGGGAGGGGCGUGGCCCCGAUGAGCAGCCACCCCUCCAUGUGGGCCACAGGGGAGGAGCCUGGGAAGCCACCCUGGCCAGGUCCUGCAGGCUCUGCAUCUGGUGUGGAAGAGCUCACGGUAAAGCACUCCUGCCCAGGACCUGAGGAGCCGGCCACUGUUCAGAAGGCCCCAGCUUGAAGGACUGGAGAGCCGCCCAGCAGCAUGACACAGGCAAGCUUUCGGAGGUGACAUUUGUCCCAGGGAAGGUCACAGCUGCCUGAACCUUUAAAACUCCCAGACACGCACUGCCUGUGCAGGAUCUGCAACCCAGCAGCACCGCCGGGGCCGUGAAGUGCUUCUUCAGAGACCUCUCUUCAUCAACUACUUUUUUUCUUAAAGCAGCAAAAGGAGAAAAUUGACAUCAAAGGAUAUUCCAGAUUCUUGAUAGCAUUCUCAUCAUCUCUGAGGACAUCGCCACCCUCUCAGGUGAGCAGCAGGUGGAGUGCCUCCGGGUGACUGGCCAGUUUGGAGCAGGGAGGGAGGCUUAGGGUCUUGUCCUCCAGCAGAGGACAGGUGAGGAGGAGGCUCCAGCGUCCCUCCCGGGCGGGUCUUCUGGUGGAUGGAAGAGUGACUCGGGGUUCUCCAC